rnacentral:tRNA from 1 species
GGGGGCGUGGUGCUAACGGGAACACGCCGGCCUUGCAUGCCGGAGUUAGGGGUUCGAUUCCCCUCGCCUCCA